GACGAACGCUGGCGGUGUGCUUAACACAUGCAAGUCGAACGGUAAGGCCCUUUCGGGGGUACACGAGUGGCGAACGGGUGCGUAACACGUGAGUAACCUGCCCUCAUCUCUGGGAUAACAGUCGGAAACGGUUGCUAAUACUGGAUAUGAGCUUGCAAGGCAUCUUGUGGGUUGGAAAGAUUUUUUUUGGUUGGGGAUGGACUCGCGGCCUAUCAGCUUGUUGGUGAGGUAGUGGCUCACCAAGGCUUCGACGGGUAGCCGGCCUGAGAGGGCGACCGGCCACAUUGGGACUGAGAUACGGCCCAAACUCCUACGGGAGGCAGCAGUGGGGAAUAUUGCACAAUGGACGGAAGUCUGAUGCAGCAACGCCGUGUGCGGGAUGACGGCCUUCGGGUUGUAAACCGCUUUCAAUUGUGACGAAGCUUUUUUGUGACGGUAGCAGUAGAAGAAGCACCGGCUAACUACGUG
rnacentral:rRNA from 1 species